UUUGACGUGGGCUUGUAACCCAAGUGGGGGCUAUGAAGCGGUGGGACGUUGUUCUAAUCCAGAUGGCUGGAUUCGGCUGGAGUUUCUUGGGUCCUAGAGUGGAGGGUACCGCGUGAGGCUGCAGUGGAAGGAUAACGAGUCGGUGUCACCCGAUUUCACAGAGCCACAUUGGACUGUUCUAAUUGGACCAUCCCUUUUUUCUUUAAAAACUAUACUUUUUUUUAUAUUUUCCUCCUUUAUUUAAGAUAAUUUUUUAAACACAAAUGUUUUUCAAAUAUAACAAAUUUUGUAUGAAUUAAAAUUUAUAUAUCUUACUAUUAAAUCAAAUUAAUAAUAUAAAUUACAAAUAUUAUUUUUAAAAAUGUCUUAGAUAAAUAAUGAAGUUAUUUCAAUAGUCCUUUAUAUAUAUGUAUAUAUAUCAAAAUUGGAGUUUGCAAGUAAUAUAUAAGAUAAUUGCAAUAACAAAAAUUAUUAUCCAAUUUAAAAUUUAAAUAUUAUUAUUAAUAGUUAAAAUAAUUAAAAAAAUUUGAAAAGAUUUUAUUAUUCCUCCUUUCUCAUGCAUAUAGAUUAUAGAUAUAGAUAUUCUUUUUUAUCAUGCAAACACUACAUUAUAAGGUCAACAAAACAAUAAAGAUUAAAAAAGUUGAGACAAUUUUAAAAAGUUAGAAAACAACAAAUUAGAUAGAUAAAAUUUAGCAGCUAAAUCAGCAAAAUGAUUAACCACACAAGAAACAUAAGAGAAGAUGAGAGAUGUAAAGCACUAUCGAAAAUAAAGAAUAGUCCAAAUAGACAAACUAAUAGCCUAGGGUAGAAAGGAAGGAUUGCCACAUAGAGCAAUAUACAGAAUAGAAGAAUUUGUCUCACAUGCAACAGCUAAAUAACCUGCACAGAAAGUCCUGAAAAUACCUUCUAAAAUAGCUCGAGUCUCACCAGUAAUAAUAGAGGAACACCAUAACUUUUUUAUAAAAUCAAAAAGUAGAAUGCCCGUAUAAUCAGACGCAAUAACAACAAUAGCAGCCAAAGAAAAUUGAUCUUUCUAAGCCACAUCACAAUUGAAUUUGACAAAAUGAGGGAAAGGAUGAUGCCAAACAAGACUAGAAGCCACACUAGAGUAACGAGCUAAAGGAGAGGAAUGAUCAGAAAACACUCCACUAAGUUAAAACUGAUGAAGGUCAAGAGACAUUUGGCGAGAGAUAAAGAAAUGAUCAUGUUGUAAAUUAUUUAAAACAAAACUAUUCCUAGCCUUCUAAAUAUGCCAAAGCGUAAUAAUAACUAUAGGUAGAAGAUAAGAAUCUUGAGAAUGUGAAAGCGAGGAAGCCAACAAAUCCUUCCACCAUUGAGGAAAUUAGGAAAACCAAAAGUAUAAUGCUUAUAACCGGAAAGACUGAGAAACCAAACUAUUUCUAAAAAAAGUACAAAAUAAAAGUAAGCGUUCCAUAGUCUUUGCCUGAGAGUGACAUACCGAAUAAGUAGAAGUAGGCACCGGACGUCAAUUUACCAAAUUAGUUAGGAGAGGCAGAACACCAUGAACACAAUUUCAGAGAAAAUUUUUUAAUUUUGAUAUAACUUAAACAAUUCAAAUACUUUUUCAAAAGUGGAUAGAAGAGGCAAAGAGGAGAUUGAAUAGUGUAAUAUGGCAUAAGCAGAAUCUUGACUGAUAAGAAGACGUCGGACUAUAUAUUGCCUAUUGAAUGUAUAAGCUAAACUCAGAAAUCGCAUAUAUAUAGAUAUAGAUAGUUACUUUUAUUUCAAAAAAUAUAAUCUUUUCAUUCUUUAUUUGAAUAUAGUUAAAAAUAAUUAAAAAACUACUUGUAUAUAUAUGUUUCAUAAUAUUUAAAAAAAAUAAAUUAAUUCAGUAAUUUCUUUCUAAAUUAUGCUUCAUAAAAUAUAAUUAAUUUUUACAUAAAAGUGGAUAUACUAAUAAUUUUUCUUUCCAUUAUAUUAAGUUAAAAUUUUAUUUGCAAUCCGAUUAAUAUAAAAUGAAAUUAUUAUUCUCAAAGUUUAUGCUUUUAUUUAAGUUUUACUUGUAAUUUUUAUUUUACGUUAUGAAUCUAAUUAAUAUAAUAAAUAUUUUUUAAUUUAUUUUAUUAAAAAUUUAAUUUAUCUAAAAAUUAUAUAUAUAUAUUUAAAAUUUUAUGAAAGGAUGGUAUUCAAGAAUUAUUCUAAGAUAGUAAUGAAUAGUCACCACACAAUAGAAUUAUGUGACAAAAGUUUGAUAAGCAAGUAUGCAGUCUCAUUCAAGAAAAGAAAAAUCUGAAUACAUUAACAUCCGGUUCAUUUGAUUCAAAAAAAAAAAAACAUCUGAUUCAUCAUUAAGACUCGCCCUUUUUUGAAUAGAUCGAGUCUCGACAUAAAAUUAUCAUUAUUAGACACAAUCCAGCAGACUACCAUUACGCUUGUAAUCACGGGAUCCACAACCAGUUAACCCGGCAGAAUCACUUAUUAAUUAGUCUAUCACAUUAUCGCUGGAUUAUUAAGAAAUACUAUAUUUAUCUUAGUUUUUUUAUAUUACAAAAGUUAAAUGAUUAUAGAGGCAAAGAUAUGCUAGUCUUACACUACACAAGUUUUAAAUAAUUUUUUAUAUUUGUCAUAUUUUUUGAUUUACUAAUUUGAGUAUUAGAGUGGACUGUUGUGGACAUCCACCACCACACGUUUUUUUUUCUCCUAUAAUUAGCCAAUCACAGCAUAUGCAGAAGAGAAAGGUGAUUUAUUGAAUAUCUUAUAAAAUAUCCUGAAAUCUUGCAAUAAAGUCAUUCAACUCAAUUUUUUUUAUUGUUUAAGUUUUUUUUUAAAUUAAUUGGUUGUGAUUAAAUGUAUAUUAAAAAUUUUAGUAGUAACGCGACAAUUUUAAUUUUAUUAAAUUAAACUAUUUAUUAAAUUUUACUUUUUAAUAAUUUAUUUUUGAUUUCAUAAAUUAUAAUUUAAAGAUAAUUAAUCACUUAUUUGACAAUAUAAAUAAAUAUAAUUUCAUUAAAAAUACGUCAAAAAUUAGAACCAUAAAAUAAUUAUUACUUCAUAUAAAAAUAUUUAUUUCAGCUGACAAGAAAAAUUUUCAAUCAAUAAAAUGUUAUUCUAUUUAAUGCAUUUUAGAAUUAAAAUUUGCCCAUUUCAAAAAAAAUUAAAAUUUGCGAACAUAUAAUAUAUGAAGCGUUGUGAUUCAAUCAUUUUCUUAAAAUGCUCACUCAAAUGGGACAAAAAAACAACAUCUUCCAAGCCGCUCAUGGAAGAAGUUCCACUGCCAUUCCCACAUCGAGCAAAACAAGAAUGCUCAAGUCGUUGUAAAGCUUACGCGAGGGACGCUGAAUCGCCGAGCCAGUUGACGUGGGCUUGUAACCCAAGUGGGGGCUAUGAAGUGGUGGGACGUUGUUCCAAUCCAGAUGGCUGGAUUCGGAAUGGCUAUCUUCUGGCUCGCCCAUUCCAAGCAGGGAGUUGAACCAAGAGACUCGAUCGAAAGCUGGAGUUUCUUGGGUCCUAGAGUGGAGAGUACCGCGUGAGGCUGGCUUCACAGAGCAGCGACCAUCUCCCGCUUCCGGCAGUGGAAGGAUAACGAGUCGGUGUCACUCGGUUCCACAUAGCCACAUGGACUGUUCUAAUUGGACCACCACUUUUUGUCUUUUUAAACUUGUACUUUUUAUAUAUUUUUCUCCUUUAUUUAAGAUUAAUUAGUUUUCCUAAACGUGUAUUUGCUCGUUGUCUCUACUCG
rnacentral:lncRNA from 1 species